GGGGCAGCUGGGUCUGGCUCAGAGGAGCCUGUACCAAGAAGUGAUGCUGGAGACUUGGGGACUCCUGACUUCUCUGGAUAAGACCUCACCUUUCUUCCAUGCGAAGUCCUGUCAAGUCCUUGUCUAAAGAACCACGUGGGACUGAGACAAGUCCUUUGAAACGUUACUAAAAUCCACGUAGCCGGAACAGGGACAACUCUUCCCAAACCAGAGCUGAUCUGCCAACUGGAAUGUGGGCAUGAGCUGUGGACCACAGAGAGGGGCCUUGCUAAAAACUCUUGGGCAGUAAAGAACAGGAUGUCAGGAAGAGUGGCUACAGAAACUGCUCAAGUGAAGCAGCUGUGGGGAACUGGUGUUUGCAGUAGGAAGUGGUGUACUAACCAAGGGAGGAGAGGACUCGGCGGGAAAGCCAGGGGGUCAGGGUGACCUAAAAUGGAGCCCACAUCUGAGGUCUGCCUGAAUUCAGGAAGAGAGAUUUCAUCACAGCAUGAAUGAACUCCAAGAUAUUUAUGUUGCAUGAAAGACAGCAGGCAGAAAUGGUUCAUGCUUCCACCUACGUAAAAUUCAUGAUGAUGAUGCACAUUUAUAUCAAUAAAGCAACAGUUCCUUGAGAAAUUGAAGUGACACGGAGAGGAGGAAUAUGAAGGGACACAGACAUGGGACAGAGAUCUGCCUUCCCUGAAGUAAGUGGGGUCACUAAGGUCCUGAGAGAGGAGAAUUGAGAUGGUUUCGGCCCCCGACAUUGGCCAUGACACAACUUCAGGAUUCUCUAUGCCGGACUGCUUCAAGUGGCGGUAAAGGUCUGCAUUGAACCAGAAGUGUCUCUCACAUGCCCCACAGAUUCUUGCAGGAAUGGAUAAAAGACAUCUCCAACCUGACCUUCAAUCAGCUUCUUCACCCUUACAGUCUGCUGCCGACCGGCUAGGCCCCCAAACUUCCAACUCUUAAUCCCCUUCUUCGACCUAUCUCAGCAGGAAGUAGUUAAUAUUGGAAAUGGGGCGACGUUUUCUGUCUUAAGAAGUUUGAAAUGUUGGGUCGGGUCGGAACUAGGCAGCCCCCGUUUGGACUAAGCUGAAGCAGGUUCGGGCCCUGCACAUGCUUGCUUCCCUGCACGUCCCAGAGGUCAGCAGUAGUCGGCGCCAGUGAAGCCUGAUGUUCCAGGUUCAAAGAAAGCCUCCUGGAGUGGACAAGCAACUCUCCCAGUUUCCAGACCCCAUAUGCUAAUUGCCACACAUUCCUCACCACUCCUUUAAAAACCCUUCCCUGACCUGUUGGCCUAGGUCACGGAACCUCGUCUGGGAGCUCCCCUAACCCCUACUAAAGCUCGCUCUACUUCUGUUCUCCCUUGUCCCGCCAGUUAUGUCCAUCUUCCUCCCUGUCCCUCAGUUCUGCUUUACACCCAGGACAACAGGAGGUACUAGUCCAAAGUAAUCUACUCGUGAGAGAGAAAACUGAAUGUUACAGUGUCCAGCAGGAAUCCAAGUAGGUUUCACAAGCAAUGACUGACAAAUUCACAGCAUGGGCAGGACUAAGGAGAUGUCGACUACAGAAAGCGGGCAGAAUCCGGGGCACAGAAAUGCCUUGGAAAUGGACAGACUCACAAACAGCCAGGUAAAGGUCAAGUAGAGCAUAAUCUGUUGGAUGAUGGCAGGACUCCUGACUCUUUCUCAACAAGGCUCAGAACAGUCUGAGGACAAUUGGAGGCGAGGCACAGCUGAGCCUGGCCUAGAGGUCUCUGAGGGAGCUGAGCAAAGUAGCAGUGGUGAUUUGUGGGAAACAGGAUUUCUCUCAAGCUGUCUUCCCCCAAAUAUAUGCCAGACAGCUGCUUGAGAAUGACUAUACACUUGGAGGUCAU